UACGAAGGGUGCAAGCGUUACUCGGAAUUACUGGGCGUAAAGCGUGCGUAGGUGGUUUGUUAAGUCUGUUGUGAAAGCCCCGGGCUCAACCUGGGAAUGGCAAUGGACUACUGGCAAGCUAGAGUGCGGUAGAGGGUAGUGGAAUUCCCGGUGUAGCGGUGAAAUGCGUAGAGAUCGGGAGGAACACCAGUGGCGAAGGCAGCCCCCUGGGAUAACACUGACGCCUGCACGCACCGAAAGCGUGGGGAGCAAACAG
rnacentral:rRNA from 1 species